UUACUUACAGAAGUCACGGCUAACUACGUGCCAGCAGCCGCGGUAAUACGUAGGGUGGCAAGCGUUAUCCGGUAUUUAGUUGGGCGUAAAGAGAGUGCAGGCGGUUUUCUAAGUCUGAUGUGAAAGCCUUCGGCUUAACCGGAGAAGUGCAUCGGAAACUGGAUAACUUGAGUGCAGAAGAGGGUAGUGGAACUCCAUGUGUAGCGGUGGAGUGCGUAGAUAUAUGGAAGAACACCAGUGGCGAAGGCGGCUACCUGGUCUGCAACUGACGCUGAGACUCGAAAGCAUGGGUAGCGAACAGGAUUAGAUACCCUGGUAG
rnacentral:rRNA from 1 species